rnacentral:sRNA from 1 species
ACAUAGCACAACUCUGCCAAGAAAACUAGGCCACAAGUCUGCAGGGCUGUGAGAAGCUCUGGGAAAAGCUUGCUGAGCAGGCGGAAGGCUGUGGUCCUGUCCCACCCGAAUGGGGAGUGACCCGCUUGACCUUUGAAUAUGACUCUGAACCCUUUGGGAAAGAACGGGAUGCAGCCAUCAUGAAGAUGGCCAAGGAGGCUGGUGUGGAAGUAGUAACCGAGAAUUCUCAUACCCUCUAUGACCUGGACAGGAUCAUUGAGCUGAAUGGGCAGAAGCCACCCCUUACAUACAAGCGCUUUCAGGCCAUCAUCAGCCGCAUGGAGCUGCCCAAGAAGCCAGUGGGCUCGGUGACCAGCCAGCAGAUGGAGAGCUGCAGGGCCGAGAUCCAGGAGAACCACGACGAGACCUACGGCGUGCCCUCCCUGGAGGAGCUGGGGUUCCCCACUGAAGGACUUGGUCCAGCUGUCUGGCAGGGAGGAGAGACAGAAGCUCUGGCCCGCCUGGAUAAGCACUUGGAACGGAAG